AUCUAUGGCCAUGCCAACCUGAACAAGCCUGAUGUCUGAUCUCAGAAGCUAAGCAAGGUCGGGCCUGGUUAGCACUUGGAUGAGAGACCACCUAGGAAGAUUAGGUGCUAUAGGCA
rnacentral:rRNA from 1 species